rnacentral:lncRNA from 1 species
AGCGCCCGCGGCCCGGCAGCGCCAGGGAUCAGGGCAGGAACGUGACCCCGGCGAGGCCGCCGCGCCGCCGCUUCCUCCCUGCCGCCGAGCCUGAUCCCGAGCCCGAUCCCCGCGGCCGUCGCUCCCCGAUCCCUGCGGCCGUCGCUCCCCGAUCCCUGCGGCCGUCGCUCCCCGAUCCCUGCGGCCGUUUGUCCCCGAUCCCUGUGGCUGUUGAUUCCCCGAUCCCUGUGGCUGUCGCUCCCCGAUCCCUGCGGCCGUCGCUCCCCGAUCCCUGCGGCUGUCGAUCCCAAUCCCUGCGGCCGUUUGCCCCCGAUCCCUGCGGCCGUCGCUCCCCGAUCCCUGCGGCCGUCGCUCCCCGAUCCCUGCGGCUGUCGAUCCCAAUCCCUGCGGCCGUUUGCCCCCGAUCCCUGUGGCCGUCG